rnacentral:tRNA from 1 species
GAGGGUAUAGCUCGUGGCAGGGUGUGUGCUUAGCAUGCAUGAGGUCCUGGGUUCAAUCCCCAGUACCUCUG